AUAUCCAGAAAAACUGAAAACUAAAGAAAGGAAAGGACACAAUACCCUCUGGAUUUUCCUUCCAUGUACAAAGUAUGCUUACGGAAGCAUUCAGUCAACUCUGAGGAUCAAUGUAUUUGUUCCAUCUAAGGCUGCUGCUGAGCAGCAUGUGAACCCAGGCAAGGCCAUGCAUUUUUUUGCUAGAGCCAUAUUCAUGUUAGAAGCCAUCAAAACAGCUGCCCACACUUCAGAAACAGUGCUUUCUCCAUGAAGUAACAGCUCUCUUCCCUACGGAUUCCAGAUAUCUGUGGAACUGGGGUAAAUGUUCCAUUUUAAGGGUAUCUCAAAGGUGGGAAAGUCUUUCAAAAGG